rnacentral:misc_RNA from 1 species
UGUGUCCAAACACCCUGUUCCUGUCGUCGCUAUCUCUACUGAACCAAUGCUCGUGUUCAGGACAGCAUCGUAGUGCAAGUCACCGGACAAAACAGCGACAUUGCCCGAUUUUAAACUGAACAUGGAGCUUGGGCUUAAAUCAACAGCACCAUCGUGAUGGAAAGCAGAAGCUGGUUGAUCAAGGUCUCCAAGAUCCGCAAAACGCGUCUGGCUUCGGCUACCAUCUUCUAUUUCAGGGUGAG